AUGCAGAGAUGUGAAGCAAAUUACAUCUUUAUCCAGGGCCAAGGCUCAGAGUCACCAGAGUCACUGAUGCUUUGCUUCAACAGCAGCUCAACCUUGGUGGCCCCAGCUGGGCAGCCAUUGGAGGAACUGGCUAUGCUCAGAGCUGCUGAAGUGGGUCCCAGGAGUGUGCUGGCGAUCUAGAAGGGUGGAUGAAAGCAGAGGAGAGAGGAACAGCCUGUGCUGUGGGUACGAGCCCAAUUUUCCCUUCAGCCUGGCGUGGCCUAGGAAACCCCACAUUAACUGUGGUAAACAAAUCAUUAGGAACCCAUCAGGCCUGGCCCCACCUCCUUCUGCAGAUGCCCGGGCAAGCAAGCCAGUGUCAUUUAAAACAGCUUUCUGAGUUUUGAUCAGGGGUUUUGAAGCUGAGAGUCAGGUGAAGCAGGUAACUGGGAAAUCAGUCUGCAGAAAGCUGAUCAAGCCAUAAAUGAACUAGAAACAAUACAGGGGCUUGAAGACUACUCCGGUAAGAGCGAUGGUCUCCAUCAAAAGGACAAGAAGAAAGCAAAGUGGGAACUGCAGCCUGGGAUGUUUUGUUCACUGAGAUCCCAAGGCCAUCUCGGGCAAGUGAGAAGAAAGGGAGCAAAUCUGAUGGCUUGAAAAUGCAGCUGGGCAUGGUGGCAUACGCCUGUAAUCCCAGCACUUGGGAAGCAGAGGCAGGUGGAUUUCUGAGUUCGAGGCCAGCCUGGUCUACAGAGUGAGUUCCAGGACAGCCAGGGCUGCACAGAAAAACCCUGUCUCGAAACAAACAAACAAACAAACAAACAGAAACAACACAAAACAGAAAUUAAGGGGGCUGGAGAGAUGGCUCAGCGGUUAAGAGCACUGACUGCUCUUCCGAAGGUUCUGAGUUCAAAUCCCAGCAACCACAUGGUGGCUCGCAACCAUCCAUAAUGAGAUCUGAUGCCCUCUUCUGGUGUGUCUGAAGACAGCUACAGUGUACUUACAUAUAAUAAUAAAUAAAAUCUAAAAGAAAAAGAAAAAGAAAAGAAAAUGCUUCUGGAGGGAGGACACACAACUUGCUUCUCUGCUCCUUUAAGGGCAUGGUCACCAACCAGGGAAAGUAGGUAAAAGUGUUUUGUAGAAAAGAAAUGUUGGCUUAGAGGUAUGAGCUUGAACUUUUAUUUACUCUUAAAAAAUUAAAUCACAUUUUGCUUAA